rnacentral:sRNA from 1 species
AUGGCUUUGGUCACGGUCCAGCGGUCACCUACCCCCAGCACCACCUCCAGCCCCUGCGCCUCGGAGGCAGACAGUGGGGAGGAAGAAUGCCGGUCACAGCCCAGGAGCAUCAGCGAGAGCUUUCUAACUGUCAAAGGUGCUGCCCUUUUUCUACCACGGGGAAAUGGCUCAUCCACACCAAGAAUCAGCCACAGACGGAACAAGCAUGCAGGCGAUCUCCAACAGCAUCUCCAAGCAAUGUUCAUAUUACUCCGCCCAGAAGACAACAUCAGGCUGGCUGUAAGACUGGAAAGUACUUACCAGAAUCGAACACGCUAUAUGGUAGUGGUUUCAACUAAUGGUAGACAAGACACUGAAGAAAGCAUCGUCCUAGGAAUGGAUUUCUCCUCUAAUGACAGUAGCACUUGUACCAUGGGCUUAGUUUUGCCUCUCUGGAGCGACACGCUAAUUCAUUUGGAUGGUGAUGGUGGGUUCAGUGUAUCGACGGAUAACAGAGUUCACAUAUUCAAACCUGUAUCUGUGCAGGCAAUGUGGUCUGCACUACAGAGCUUACACAAGGCUUGUGAAGUCGCCAGAGCGCAUAACUACUACCCAGGCAGCCUAUUUCUCACUUGGGUGAGUUAUUAUGAGAGCCAUAUCAACUCUGAUCAAUCCUCAGUCAAUGAAUGGAAUGCAAUGCAAGAUGUACAGUCCCACCGGCCCGACUCUCCAGCUCUCUUCACCGACAUACCUACUGAACGUGAACGAACAGAAAGGCUAAUUAAAACCAAAUUAAGGGAGAUCAUGAUGCAGAAGGAUUUGGAGAAUAUUACAUCCAAAGAGAUAAGAACAGAGUUGGAAAUGCAAAUGGUGUGCAACUUGCGGGAAUUCAAGGAAUUUAUAGACAAUGAAAUGAUAGUGAUCCUUGGUCAAAUGGAUAGCCCUACACAGAUAUUUGAGCAUGUGUUCCUGGGCUCAGAAUGGAAUGCCUCCAACUUAGAGGACUUACAGAACCGAGGGGUACGGUAUAUCUUGAAUGUCACUCGAGAGAUAGAUAACUUCUUCCCAGGAGUCUUUGAGUAUCAUAACAUUCGGGUAUAUGAUGAAGAGGCAACGGAUCUCCUGGCGUACUGGAAUGACACUUACAAAUUCAUCUCUAAAGCAAAGAAACAUGGAUCUAAAUGCCUUGUGCACUGCAAAAUGGGGGUGAGUCGCUCAGCCUCCACCGUGAUUGCCUAUGCAAUGAAGGAAUAUGGCUGGAAUCUGGACCGAGCCUAUGACUAUGUGAAAGAAAGACGAACGGUAACCAAGCCCAACCCAAGCUUCAUGAGACAACUGGAAGAGUAUCAGGGGAUCUUGCUGGCAAGGUGAGUCAAGUGACUUUCUCCAAUUCUCCCUCCUUUUAAGAUCCCUAAAGCAAGAUGAAGUGUCCUUCUCUGUAGCUACUUCUCAAGCUGAUUUGGAUGUUAUAUUUUUUCAAAAAAGACUUAUUUCUCUAUCAAUCCAGUUUUCAAAACAUAAGUGUAAGCAUUUAAGAUUUGCAUGGGCUGGCCGGGCACAGUGGCUCACGCCUGUAAUCCCAGCACUUUGGGAGGCUGAGGCAAGCGGAUCAUUUGAGGUCAGGAGUUCAAAACCAGCCUGGCCAACAUGGUGAAACCCCGUCUCUACUUAAAAUACAAAUAUUAGCUGGGCAUGAUGAUGGGCCCCUGUAAUCCCAGCUACUUGGGAGGCUGAGGCAGGACAAUCGCUUGAACCUGGGAGGCAGAGGUUGCAGUGAGCUGAGAUCGUACCACGCACUCCAGCCUGGGUAACAGAGCG